CAGCCGCCGCGGGAAUACGAACCGUGCGAACGUUAUUCGGAAUCACUGGGCUUAAAGCGCGUGUAGGCGGAUGGGAGCGUCGGCCUCUGAAAUCCCCCGGCUCAACCGGGGAAGUGGAGCCGAAACGACCCGUCUGGAGGGACGUAGGGGGACCUGGAACUUCCGGUGGAGCGGUGAAAUGCGUUGAGAUCGGAAGGAACGCCCGUGGCGAAAGCGAGGUCCUGGACGUCUGCUGACGCUGAGACGUGAAAGCCAGGGGAGCGAACGGGAUUAGAGACCCCGGUAGUCCCUGUCUCUUAUA
rnacentral:rRNA from 1 species